UCAUACUUCCAAUAAAUGGGAAUGAUCAAGCAUUUUAUCUCUGAGCAGUGAAAAAGUAAAAUGUGUAGCAACAUUGAAAUUCUGACUUAGCUGAGGCACGUUUAAUGACUCGUCUUUGCAGUGUAGCAAAGCAAUGAAGGGCUACAUGAAUUCGGCUUAAAUUUCUGCUCUGCUAUUUAUUAACUUCAUGGCACUGGGUAAAACUUUCACUUUUUAAUCCUCAAUCUCUAACACGGAUGUAACAAUGCAUUCUUUUCAGAGCUGUUGAAGUUAUUAAUCAGACAAUAUGUGUAAAGCUCUUUAAAAGUCAGUGACACAUAACAAAUUCUUUAAUAUGUGAACUGAAUAUUUGUUUCCAGAAUACUAGCCAUAGGGACACCUAAGGGACAAUGUGAUUUAACACUAAAGGCUCUGAAGGACCUGCUAAAUGAGAAGAUAAAACUUGCAGCAGUGCAACACUGAAAUAAAGUACAUCAACGGCAAGGCAGGGGCAACAGAAUCAUCUGCUACAUCUUGACUCCCAAUUCUGAUGGGAAUUUCCAAUAUUGACACCCUAAAAAGGGCAUCUUCUCUUGCUGUGGGCCCCAAUCAAAGCUGUAGCUUUUCAGAUCCUCCGGUAAAUGGUCAAAGCAGGAUACACAGGGAUCAUGUAGCCGAAGGCACUUUGGAAUAAUACAAACCUUAAUUCAAA